CCUACGGGGGGCAGCAGUGAGGAAUAUUGGUCAAUGGACGAGAGUCUGAACCAGCCAAGUAGCGUGAAGGAUUACUGCCCUAUGGGUUGUAAACUUCUUUUAUAUGGGAAUAAAACAGGGUAUGCAUACCCUCUUGUGUGUACCCUACGAAUAAGGUUCGGCUAACUCCGUGCCAGCAGCCGCGGUAAUCCUGAGGAUCCGAGCGUUAUCCGGAUUUAUUGGGGUUAAAGGGAGCGUAGGUGGUGUGGUAAGUCAGUUGUGAAAGUUUGCGGCUCAACCGUAAAAUUGCAGUUGAAACUGGCAGUCUGGAGUACAGUAGAGGUGGGCGGAAUUCGUGGUGUAGCGGUGAAAUGCUUAGAUAUCACGAAGAACUCCGAUUGCGAAGGCAGCUCACUGGACUGCAACUGACACUGAUGCUCGAAAGUGUGGGUAUCAAACAGGAUUAGAUACCCCUGUAGUC
rnacentral:rRNA from 1 species